UGGCUCAGAUUGAACGCUGGCGGCAGGCCUAACACAUGCAAGUCGAACGGUAGCACAGAGAGCUUGCUCUCGGGUGACGAGUGGCGGACGGGUGAGUAAUGUCUGGGAAACUGCCUGAUGGAGGGGGAUAACUACUGGAAACGGUAGCUAAUACCGCAUAACGUCGCAAGACCAAAGAGGGGGACCUUCGGGCCUCUUGCCAUCAGAUGUGCCCAGAUGGGAUUAGCUAGUAGGUGGGGUAACGGCUCACCUAGGCGACGAUCCCUAGCUGGUCUGAGAGGAUGACCAGCCACACUGGAACUGAGACACGGUCCAGACUCCUACGGGAGGCAGCAGUGGGGAAUAUUGCACAAUGGGCGCAAGCCUGAUGCAGCCAUGCCGCGUGUAUGAAGAAGGCCUUCGGGUUGAAAAGUAUUGUCAGCGGGGAGGA
rnacentral:rRNA from 1 species